rnacentral:rRNA from 1 species
UACGUAGGUGGCAAGCGUUGUCCGGAUUUACUGGGCGUAAAGAGCGCGCAGGCGGUCGAAUAAGUCGAAUGUGAAAGCCCCCGGCUCAACUGGGGAGGGUCAUUCGAUACUGUCCGACUUGAAGGCAGGCAGAGAGAAGCAGAAUUCCGCGUGUAGCAGUGAAAUGCGUAGAUAUGCGGAGGAACACCGAUGGCGAAGGCAAUCCCCUGGACCUGUACUGACGCUCAUGCACGAAAGGCGUGGG